GACGGAUCGGGUAGUGACAGUGAGCACUGCUGAGGGUCGCUUACGGUUGAGACCCGUUACACCUGCUCCGGAGCAGGUUGGGUUGCAGGCUAAGAGAUCAACUCAGUGCUGACCAAUCAGAGCUCAGUGUGCGGAGUUUAAAGCGAUCAAGUCAUCUUACAGGAGAAAGGAAAUACAGAAGAGCUGCCGUUGCAGGAAAGACGCCGACGUGUCGCACUUAUCAUUCAUAUCACAUCAUCAAUCACAUCAUUGAUCAUAUAAUAUUUUAGGAGCCAUUUCCUUAGAUUGUAGUAUCUUAUCUGUUUACAGUACAUAACCUGAGAUUCUGUGGUGUAGGCCUAUAUUAUUUAUUAUUUAAUUUGAGUGCGUUACUCUGCAGGUCGAGGUGCUGCAGCCUACUGGUGUGGCUGACUGAAGCAAACCGUUUUUAGACCUUGCUGGUUGGGAGCGUCACAGCUUGGUUCUUCUGCUUUAACAUUGAAAUAUCAGUUUAUAGGACAAAUAGUUUGUUUAAAAACGUUUAUUUAUUUUUGCCUUUUUUGGAAUAAACUAUCUGACUUUUCAAUCGCA